rnacentral:rRNA from 1 species
AACGAACGCUGGCGGCAUGCCUAACACAUGCAAGUCGAACGAGACCUUCGGGUCUAGUGGCGCACGGGUGCGUAACGCGUGGGAACCUGCCCUUAGGUUCGGAAUAACUCCCCGAAAGGGGUGCUAAUACCGGAUAAUGUCUACGGACCAAAGAUUUAUCGCCUUUGGAUGGGCCCGCGUUGGAUUAGCUAGUUGGUAGGGUAAAAGCCUACCAAGGCGACGAUCCAUAGCUGGUCUGAGAGGAUGAUCAGCCACACUGGGACUGAGACACGGCCCAGACUCCUACGGGAGGCAGCAGUGGGGAAUAUUGGACAAUGGGCGAAAGACUGAUCCAGCAAUGCCGCGUGAGUGAUGAAGGCCUUAGGGUUGUAAAGCUCUUUUAACCGGGAUGAUAAUGACAGUACCGGGAGAAUAAGCUCCGGCUAACUCCGUG